CGAACCUUGGUUUUAGCUUCAUAUAAUAUGUUGUGGUAUGACUUUCUUUGCUUGAAAGACUUUGGUCUAAUGCUGUUGAACCUUCAUGCGAGAGUUUUUAUGGUGGCUUGGGAAGCUUGUCAAAGGACCACCCCUCAUCAUGCUCGCUUAACGUCUUCAAGUCAUACACCUCACUUCAUGUUUGCUAUUGUUUGCCUAACCUCAACUUUCAUUCGGCAUCAAUUCUAGCAAAUAAAUCCAAGCACCAGAGCACCAUCACCACUACCCAAACCUUUGUCAAAGCUCUACUUCAUGUAGCUCUCCUCGUGCCGGCGAGAAUCAUGUCUUUGACCCCUUCAUUAACGCCACUUCGUCUUUUGACAGAGACAAUUUGUUUUUCCUUUGAAUCGCUCUUGAAAGAGUCGUCGAUAAACUUUGAUCUCACAAGUACCAUAAGCAUCUUUGCUUUUGGCUCAAAACUCUCAAGGACCCUUUGUCGAUUAGCCCUAU